GACGAACGCUGGCGGCGUGCCUAAUACAUGCAAGUAGAACGCUGAAGGAGGAGCUUGCUUCUCUGGAUGAGUUGCGAACGGGUGAGUAACGCGUAGGUAACCUGCCUGGUAGCGGGGGAUAACUAUUGGAAACGAUAGCUAAUACCGCAUAAUAGUAGAUGUCGCAUGACAUUUGCUUAAAAGGUGCAAUUGCAUCACUACCAGAUGGACCUGCGUUGUAUUAGCUAGUUGGUGAGGUAACGGCUCACCAAGGCAACGAUACAUAGCCGACCUGAGAGGGUGAUCGGCCACACUGGGACUGAGACACGGCCCAGACUCCUACGGGAGGCAGCAGUAGGGAAUCUUCGGCAAUGGACGGAAGUCUGACCGAGCAACGCCGCGUGAGUGAAGAAGGUUUUCGGAUCGUAAAGCUCUGUUGUACGAGAAGAACGAGUGUGAGAGUGGAAAGUUCACACUGUGACGGUAUCUUACCAGAAAGGGACGGCUAACUACGUG
rnacentral:rRNA from 1 species